CCAAUGGGCAGUGAGCAGCAGCAGUGUUUUACUUGUGCAAUUGUUUAGAUCCCACAGUGGCACUGAGGUGGCAUUAAUUUAGGACAUCAUGACAAAUUAAAUUGACAGCUCCAGAUUGCCCAGAUUGCCCUGAACUAAUGCUUUCUUGGAGCACUGUAAGACAUUAAAAAUGGUUGCCAGUCCUAGUUAUCUUUUGUUCAGCAGAAUGUCAGUUAAACCGGAUGUGAGAAGCUAGUAUUCUGCUGGAGAUGUGAGGACGCUGCAGACCUGUGUAUACAACUAAGUCCCAAGUAGAGUAGAUCGACUGAAUCACUAUGAAUUUGAUAAAGCAACAUUUAUGCAAGUUCCAUUGAUUUAGUACUUCUGUUCUAGUCAGAACAACUAACAGGAUUUAUGUCUUUAUAUGUGGAUUGCUUUUCCAUCUUUUAAUGUUAGUCUUCAAAAGCAUCUUGUGGGUUAACUUGGCAUAUUCCUAUUUUUUGUACUAAGAAUAGAAGCUAAGAGCCAAUUAAUGUGACCCUAACAGCCAAAGAUAAUCAACUUUUAGCGUACAGUAUGUCCACUUCUUACAUGAGCUCAUUAAACACAGUUUCAUUUAUACACAAAGAGCUUUGGAUACCAUAAAAUCACUUUGGAGGACCUAGCUAUGCCUAGAAAAAUGUUCUCCCUAGGACUUCAAUGCAUGAAAGAUUCUGUUAGAAGAUGAUUAGAGAAAUGCAUUGAAGGCCUGGAGAAAACACCUCUCUAGACCUUUUCUAGGUACUUCUGGGUGAUAUUAUGGUAUGCUUUGGCUGGACACCCAAGACAAUGUUCAUUUUAAAUAAGAAAAAUAAGGUUCCAGAUUAUGCAUGUAUUACACAAAGUGUCCUGUAACAGAUUCCUCAUGCAAUAUACCACCUGCCCAAAUAAUAUAUAAGUGACCCAGUGUGUGUUCAGAUUUAUUACAGUGGAACUCAAAACACAUUACAGCUGGUUCGCCAGAUCAAGUGGGCUUUUCAAGACAGUGUGAAUGAGUUUUCAAGAAAUAUUCUAUCAGCAUCGCCUCUGAAAAAUCCUGCAAAUCUCAUAAGAAGACAGGAUGACAAACAUCAACAUUCUGGAAAAAGGAAAAACUUCCAGCGUUGAAGUAACGAUCUAAGUAAGUAAGUAAGUAACUUUAUUUUAUACGCCACCUCCAUCUCCCUGCAGGGACUUGGGGCGGCUCACAUGGGACCAAGCCCAGAUAAUCACAGUAAAACAGGAUAAAGUACAUACAUAAAACACAUCAUCAAUGAAUAAUAUUAAAACAAAGUAAAUACACAGUAUACACAAUAACAUAGUCAUGGAAUAAAGGCCACCAUGUAAAGGCAGAACAAAGAUUAAAAUAAAAGGGGAACUGGGCCAAAGUGCUAGGAGUGUAUAUUGUAAACCUAGUGAGAGAGGUAGUGCUGAAGUAUUUGAUGGGAGAUUUGGAGUUGGGAUAAAUGAAGAAAUUAUUUCCAACUGAUGGGGCAGAGUAAAAAAUGUGACGGACAAAGUGAAUGUCAAUGAGGUGGGAUAUGUCAUUGAGAUCAAUUAUUGAAAGGCACACCAGAAGAGCCAAGUGUUU
rnacentral:lncRNA from 1 species